UAAAAGUUCUGCAGCUUAACAUCGAGGCAUCGUUCAACAAGAUUGCGGGGAGCAAGACAAGCAUCAAGACCACCUCCGUGUUUGUGGAGUCAUACAACCAGAGGAUCUACCUCCGGGACCAUGCAAGGGCCAUCCAAACCCUCCCACUCAACUCUGAUUUCCUCAGUGACUUGCGCAACCUUCCCGAGCCACCCAGCUCCGACAGCGCUUGGGGGCCAUACCAAUCCUUCUUGAACAAGUGGGGAACGCACUACGUGGCCGAGAUGUUCCACGGCUCAUGGCUGCGCCAGUGGACCGUGGCCUCCUCCACGGCGACGUUCACCGAGCGCCAAAUGCAGGCCAAAGCCUGUGCCAAGCUCACCGGCCUCAAGGGAGUCCUCCCCAACAUGGAGGGCUGCGCGGGUAUCACUCUUGAGGAGAUGCGCGCCGCGGAGGGGAUCAACACGCAAGACACUCGAGAGGCCCGGGGUGGAUCCUCCGCCACCGUCUCGCAGCUGCUCUCGGGUGACAUAACCAACGAUCUCAUCCGGAAGUUCAUCGAGGAGGGAGCCACGAGCAAGGAAGCAGUACGCUACGGCUUCUUUCCAGUGUGGGUGCCCGUCUUGUCUCAGUACAUGUCGUCCGCGUCCAUGGAGUGGAGAGUGGCAACGGCGCUCCAGGCUUACUAUGAAGGCUUCCUCGCCUUCAAGUGUCCCCUGGACCAGCUCAACACACCCGCGACUGUCUUGCAGCAGUUUCGGAGGCUCAGCAAUGGCAAGUAUCAGUGCGUUCGCCAGUGCCAGGGCUGCAGGCUUGACAAGGAUUGCAACCUUAGUGGUGUAUCUGGAUGCUAUUGCUACGGUAACUCGUGCAUCAACGCUCUGGGACCGGAUGGCCGAGCUCAGGUUCAGCGGCAGAAGGAUAACCUCGACCGUAAUGUGCUGCCUAACAGGUCGUGUGAGUACAACUUUCCUCAGUGCCGCUGCAACACCAAAUCCAAAGAGGCGAAUUGUGGUGCUGACAACAUGAUUCCGAUAUGGGACCAGGGUCAAAACAGCAUUGCGAUCGAUUCAAACAUCCUUCUUUAUGACAAAGAAUGAGCCAAACAUGAUUGUGUGUUUGUUGUUUGUGAUUUGCAUUGCAUUACGUCUCUACAAUAACAUGCAUCUCUAUGUAUAUUUUCCAUGGUUGUGUGUGGUUUGUAUUUAACAGUCCUGUGUUUUCAAAAAGAAUAAAUAAAAAGAUGUUAAGUUAUACAAUACAAUUCGCAAGAGUCGGCAGCUGUGUACACUGUGUAGGUGAAAGAUGACUUCCAUGUACUAUAUGAGCUCCCCAAGACAUGCACAUCUCAGCUGGAAGACCUUUCUGUCCUGGCAUGAGUGGGAUCAAGUAACUCUUCUGAGCAGGAUCCAGCAGUUGCAAAGAGUGGCCUAAAUUGGAGCAGCUGCAAUCAAGACCUGGUGGUAAAUUGUGUAUACUUGAAUUAGACUUGGAAAAACAUUAUCACUAAAUUGUUUGUGAGUGCAUGAAAUAUGGAAAGGGAAUAUAAAAAUGUGCAUAUCAAUUAGCCCAAAAACCUUAGCUUAUAUACAGAAGCGAGUGGUCUGGAUUGAAACUAAUAUGACAGCUACCAAAAUCCCACUAUGCUAAUAUUAGUAUACGGCAUCGUAGCCAUACACUAAUGGAAGACUAUCAGGGUUCUCUUGUAAACGGGCUGGGAUCUAGAGGAACAUCAGGAGGAGGCAUCGGCGCAUCUGUAGACGGUAUUAACUGCUCCUGAUCCUUUUGUAUGAAGCAUUUCAACUGCUGCACAUGCACAAUCUCUAGAGGCUUGGCCUACUAGACGUCAUGCCGAACCUUAUAAACUUGUGGUGUAACUUGCCGCAACACCUGAUAUGGUCCUUUCCAUUGUGCAAGGAGCCCCUUAGAUAAACCACGUACCGUAAGAUGGGGAAAAUGGACUAACACUAAAUCAUCCACUUUGUACUCCGUAGGUAGACGAUGAUGGGAGUUAUACCACCGUUGUUGUCCCACUUGUACGUGGCCUAAGUAUUUGGUAGACUCUGCUCGGACAAGUGGAAAAAUGCUCGUCAAAUAUUGAUCCCAUGACCUAGCAUUUGUAGCUUGUGGCAAUCGUGAAGGUAAACCCAGCUCCGUUGGUAAUAUUGGAUCAUGAUCAUAUAGAAGUUUAUAUGGUGAAGCACCAAUAUAACUCUACACCCCAGUGAUAUAUAUAUACCAAAUAGAUGGCAAAUAAUUAUCCCAAUCCGAAUGCUAAAAAUUCACAUACUUCACAAUCAUCCCCUUGAAUGUCCGAAUGAGCCGUUCCACCAAGCUAUUUGAUUGUGGAUGGUAAACAAUGUGGUGUAUCCCCAACCAAAACAUCAAAACAUGAAAUGCCUCAGCCAUAAAUGUGGGACCAUUAUCCGAAAGAAUCCAUUCUGGAACACCACUCGAUUGAGGAGGAAGUAUCCAAUAUCAGUUGCAGAGACGCUAGUAAGAGCACCAACUUCCACCCAAUGAGUUAAAUAGUCAUAAACAAUAAUAACAUACUCAUUACCAAUAGUCUACCGUGAAAAAGAUCCCUUAAGAUCAAAUGCGACCAACUCAAAUGGACGGAAAACUACAAUUGACUCCAACCAUCCUUCCGCAACCCGAGGGGGAGUAUUACAAGUAUUACGAAUUAUUAAGAAUUCCUCCUCGCGGCUUUUUCACUCUGUCCUGCCACCAACGAAGAUUCAACUCCACCAUCGAUCAAGGAAUGAAGGCGUUCUCGAGGAUUCUAAAAGGAACUCACUCCUUUUCAACCUAGAUCCAGCUAAGUUCCUCGAAUGAUACAUAUUUCCGACAGCCUGCAACAUGAAAAAGAAGAAAAAUCUAAAGCCAUGCCAAGACCCACAAUUUUUGGGUGAGAAGAAUUAAGUACCUUGAAGAAAGCCUCCUUCUGGGGCACCUCAACAAGCGUGGAGCCUCCACUCCGUUCCAAAAACUCCGCAACAGUCAUGCGCUAAAUUUUGGGAUGCCUGACAAGGUCGCACCGUCGUCUAAAAGCUGCAACAAAAGGAAGCAACCGGAAGUUUGAUCAUCUGAGGAGCUGGUGUUGUGAGCUUCUCCAAAAGCUUUGGCUGUCAGGCCCAUCUAGAAUUUUACGUAGCGGUGCCAUUGAAGUGGCCAUUACCUGGAGCACGAGAGAGAGAGAGAGAGAGUUUCCACAAAGUUUUCCAACGAGCAGCCAGUCCAAGAGAGCGUUAGAUGGCAGCCAAGCUCACGUAAAAUCGAGAUUGCCAAGAGCGUAGAAAAUACGUUCAAGGAGGUCGCAAGUAGAGGCCAUCGCAUCUAAGAUCGAUCGAAGAAGAAAGGAUGAAAACCAGCGAUCGAAACGAGAAAAAAGGAGACCUUACAGUGCUUGACGAGCGAUGACACGGCUUGAGCGGCGGAGUCGCCAAAUGUGUUAGCACUGGAAGAGAGCUCGGACGAUCGGUUUAGCGAGAGGGAUCGCGAGACCGGUCAUUAAAAGCAUGCAAAGCUUGAUGCCUCGAUCAUCUGGAGCAAACGCGAGAAGUAUCGAAAGAGUUACUUCAACCUGCAAAAGCCAUUGAGCCAAAGCUCCCACUGUCGAGGCCAAAACGAGCAAAACACCUCCUGUCAAGCACCACUUUGUAUGAAUCGACUUUAAAGCUCAAGGCAAUGAGGAUUGCACAGCUUGCAAUGAAUUGCAGCCUGCAUGGAGCCAAGAACACAGUCAAGAACACACGAAUCUUUUGUCUUGUAACCAAAACUUACAGCGAGAAUGAUCAAUAUGCUUGAUAGAGCAGGACUCAAGGAUGCAAUCCCGUAUCUUCCCGAGACACUGCACACGAAAACCCAUUCCAAAGUUUGGCUGCAAACUGGACGAGAAAACUCGGUCAAAACUUCCACAGCCGAUUCCCAUCAAGCACGCGAGUGUUACACAAGGCGCCAUGAUUCUUAGCUAGAGGUUUUCUUCUUCUGAAGCUACCUGAAGUAUAGCCAUGCUUCUCGUGAUCAAUACACCGCUUAUUUUCAAUAACAAUCUGUUUGGAAAGCUUUUGAGAUUCUACGACAGAAGGAAUGCUCAAAACUUACCCUGGUGCGAUUGCAUCAAUAAGAAAAGCCGCUAAUGUGUACAUGAGAAUGCCAAGGCUCAAAGAUACCUGAUAAAAAAGAGGAUGGUGUAAACGUAGGGGAAAAAAACCGGUUUUCAUUUGAGAUCUUGCUAAAAGAGGAUGAAAAAAAUGACUUAAAGAAACUGGAUUGGUCCAUUGAUUCCUGUAAGAAUUAACGGUGAGUUUUGCUCGAUGCUUCAGCUAGAAACUGUAUACCUCCAAGGAUUAUCAGAAAAAAUCCUGGUACAAUGGACGCAUAUCUACAAACUUUCGAACUUAGCGAAGAGCACCAUGAACUCGAUGCAUACCCGAACGCAUCUACGACAGGACCAACACCAAAUACAGCAGCAAGAACAAGCUCACGAACUAAUCCCUGUGAAGGGGUGAAGAAAAAACUCAGAAAUCUUGCAAAGAAUGAAAAACAUUUUUAACACGAGAGGGAUACAACAAGACUUACCAAGACUUUGCUAAGAGCAGUAGCACUUCCAGUCACUCCCGCUAGCUUCAAAAACUUACCACCGCCUUCUGAGAAGAAAAUAAUGUUGAGAAGAAACGACAAAGAGAAAGAAGAAAAACCUUCGGAGUCAUUCUCGUUGAGCUCAAACAAAGACGUAUUGCGAGAGCAUACCUGAGCAAUUAGUUUGCCGGAAACUAGAAGCCCACUUGAGAGGGAGGCCCUCCUACCGAGAGACAAGGAGCCUGGAGGCGAAAAACAUGAAUCAUCACAGCUUCGUUUCUUCUUACCUGGGCACUGACGAACCGAUCCAUUCGAGAGAAAGACCCACAAGUCGCUCACACCUCAAGAUGACCUUUCUCUCUCUGUUUCUCUCUCAAGAGGGUUUUGGACAAUAAGCUAUAUCGAUCAUUAAGAGAGUUUACUGAUUUCGAGAGUUCUCAUCCCAUUCUUACUCGUGACCUUUUUUCAUUUUCUUAUUUCAAUAAAGAUAUCGCAAGCUUGUUUGUAACACAUAUACGGCUGUGACGUAGACUUUUCCACCACCCCUGUUCUGGUUUAGGGCUCCGUCAUGAAGUGGUCCGACACGAAGAUUUCUGACAACGUACACGUUUGUUUUAAAACGUCAGUUCGCGGUCUUGUUUUCAAAGAAGUAAAUGGGUUGGUAUACGUUCUGACACAACAUACCAUACGUCUUUCUUAUGUCUGUAAACAAUGAAAAUGUGCUUUGUUGAUCAUUCAUUAAGAGAGUUUACUGAUUGAAUAAGAUGUACGAGAUGGUGGCGCAGUUGGUCAACACUUAGCUCGUUAGAAAUCCUGAGGUCUGAGGUCGAGAGUUCGAGCAUCUCUAAGAAAGAAUUUCGGGAUUAUUAUUAUUAUUUUUACAUUUUUUCUUUUUUUGGUUUGCUUAACUGAUGGUAAUGGAUAUAUUUAGAAUAUGUUUGGAUAUUCAAAGAUAUUCUACCAUCUAACGGUCAUUAUUUAUUCAGAUUAAUGUAUUUAUAAUUUACAAACAUGUUUAUAAUUUAUAAACUUGCUUAAACACUUUCUAGUAUAUUAUUUUUAAUUCUACCAUCGAUAAUCUUGUAUUUAUAAAUUAUAAACAUGUUUAUAAUUAUAAACUUUUAUUUGAUCAAUUAAAUUAAUAAGUAAAAAUAACACUACUAUUAAACAAACUAAACAUUACUACAUGCAUUGCAUAACAAAUUAUUUUCAAUAAAGGUCUGUGUUGUUGCAGAAAGCUUGUUUGUAACACUUUAUAACUCAGACACUGUUCCACAGACUGGAUGGCUUUUUAGCACCCUUGUCUGAAAGCUUCAUAAUGGACAAAUCAAACUAUUCAAAGACAACUCUUUUGCACUCCACGGAUUGGUAUGGCAUCCUUAUCCUGAGCUGGCUUGCGCCAGUAUGAGCACAUGUAGUUUCUGACCCAUUGGUACCACAUGGUACCACAUGUUUUUCUUAUGUCUGCUCUGGAAUAUUAUUUCAGAAGUUAUAGAAACAACAUAUGGCAGCUUGAAAUCGUGGGCUGCUAUAAAACCCAGGGUAAAAUCUUCAAGCAGCACACAAGAAUGGCUUCUUCAGGAAUUUUCUUCUUUGUUCUUUUUGUUCUCUAUGUUUCUACAGGUAUCAUCUAUCGUCCUUUGAGUGCAUCUUUAAUGUCAUAUAAAUCUCUGUUUUGUGUGUGUAGCCGCUGCCCAAAACGUGCAUUUUGGUUAUGGAGUUUAUCUUCCCACCACGGAUCUGGGAUCUCCGUUGAGGACCCUGAGGCCUAUUUUCAACGAGAGAGCUAACGACUUCUUGCUGACCGAGAAAUAUACCUCUGUCACAAACAACCAUGCCCACACUAGUAACAACCAAGAGCUCUACAGAUCAGUAAGCUAUGCAACGGUACCAGUUCCUAAUCUGAUCGGUGGUUUGCAUUGUGAUCACAGUUUGGAGUUACGUUUGCGAUGAACGUUCCUAUAAAAGUUCUGCAGCUUAACAUCGAGGCAUCGUUCAACAAGAUUGCGGGGAGCAAGACAAGCGUCAAGACCACCUCCGUGUUUGUGGAGUCAUACAACCAGAGGAUCUACCUCCGGAACCAUGCAAGGACCGUCCAAACCCUCCCACUCAACUCUGAUUUCCUCAGUGACUUGCGCAACCUUCCCGAGCCACCCAACUCCGACAGCGCUUGGGGGCCAUACCGAUCCUUCUUGAACAAGUGGGGAACACACUACGUGUCCGAGACGUUCCACGGCUCAUGGCUGCGCCAGUGGACCGUGGCCUCCUCCACGGCGACGUUCACCCAGCGCCAAAUGCAGGCCAAAGCCUGUGCCAAGCUCACCGGCCUCAAGGGAGUCCUCCCCAACUUGGAGGGCUGCGCGGGGAUCACUCUUGACGACAUGCGCGCCGCGGAGAGGAUCGACACGCAAGACACUCGAGAGGCCCGGGGUGGAUCCUCCGCCACCGUCUCGCAGCUGCUCUCGGGUAACAUAACCAACGAUCUCAUCCGGAAGUUCAUCGAGGAGGGAGCCACGAGCAAGGAAGCAGUACGCUACGGCUUCGUUCCAGUGUGGGUGCCCGUCUUGUCUCAGUACAUGUCGUCCGCGUCCAAGGAGUGGAGAGUGGCGACGGCGCUCCAGGCUUACUAUGAAGGCUUCCUCGCCUUCAAGUGUCCCCUGGAGCGGCUCAACACACCCGCGACUGUCUUGCAGCAGUUUCGAAGGCACAGCAAUGGCAAGUAUCAGUGCGUUCGCCAGUGCCAGGGCUGCAGGCUUGACAAGGAUUGCAACCUUAGUGGUGCAUCUGGAUGCUACUGCUACGGUAACUCGUGCAUCAACGCUCUGGGACCGGAUGGCCGGGCUCAGGUUCAGCCGCAGAAGGAUAACCUCGACCGUAAUGUGCUGCCUAACAGGUCGUGUGAGUACAACUUUCCUCAGUGCCGCUGCAACACUAAAUCCAAAGAGCCGAACUGUGGUGCUGACAACAUGAUUCCGAUAUGGGACCAGGGUCAGAACAGCAUUGCGAUCGAUUCAGACAUCCUUCUUUAUGACGAAGAAUGAGCCAGACAUGAUUGUGUGUUUGUUGGUUGUGAUUUGCAUUGCAUUACGUCUCUACAAUAACAUGCAUCUCUAUGUAUAUUUUGCAUGGUUGUGUGUGGUUUGUAUUUAACAGUCCUGUGUUUUCAAAAAGAAUAAAUAAAAAGACGCAAUAUCGACAGCUGUGUACACUGUGUAGGUGAAGGAUGUCUUCCAUGUAUUAUAUGAGCUCCCCAAGACAUGCACACCUCAGCUGGAAGACCUGGGAUCAAGUAACUCUCCUGAGCGGGAUCCAGCAGUUGCAAAGAGUGGCCUAAAAUGGAGCGGCUACGAUUUGCUACUUGACCAGGUUCGUGUGACUGCUUUGGAAGCUAACUCAGCUCUGGUUUGUUUCUCAGUGAACACACGUACUUGGACAAGGUGCUACCUUCGAAGGAGUUUUGACAACGUCUUGAUAAGUCAUUGCCGUGCGUUCUCAACUGUAAGUUUUCUAAGCUCUUUACACUUGGUUUUUGUUUUUUCAGCGCUGUACAUGAGCCAAGCAGCUCUCUUACGACAUGGUCGCGCGCUAUACCAAUCAUUCGAGAAGGACCCGAAGCGCCAGAGCAUGGGGAUCGGGAGUUGAUGAGCUCCGACCAGAUUGAAGGAUCCAUUGACCUCUUCCUCUAGGUGCACGCACGGGUCAUGCUCUUCUUGGUCCUGUCUAUCAUGCCGUCCAGGAAUCCAUCGAUUUAGCUUGGCAUCAUGUUCUAAAGAGGAGAAUAUUGGCGAUCAUGGUGUGGAGGAGACCAUUGUGACACGAUCAAGGCUAAGAUUAGAAUUGCUUGCUCGCAAUUGGGAUUUUAGCUUGAAAUCGGGCCUUGUGUGGGGAGAACAACAAAAAGAAAAGCAUUUGCACUCACGAAAUGAGGAGACCACCGUCAUGCUUGUGAAGCUUGUCAUUUCAUUGCCUGCUCGAUGACAAAGUUUGCACCUGCGCAGCAUGUAUUUGCAGGUCCCGGCUGGUAAGCCAUCUUUCAAGUCAGUCCUGCUCUCAAGUCAAGUGUUUUAAACUGAAUCACAAAAGGAAAGUCUGCCUUAACCAGCUUCGAUUUACCUCCUGCUUGGAUCUCUCGCAGAUGAAGCAACUCCUUUUCAACCUUGAUCCAGCUAAGUUCCUCGGACAGCUGUGUUGAUACAUAUUUCCGACAGUCUGCAACAUGAAAAAGAAGAAAAUCUACACAAUUUUUGGGUGAGAAGAAUUAAGUACCUUGAAGAAAGCCUCCUUCUGGGGCACCAGCUUACAUCAACAAGCGUGGAGCCUCCACUCCGUUUCAAAAACUCCGCAACAGUCAUGCGCUAAAUUUUGGGAUGCCUGAGAAGGUUGCACCGUCGUCUAAAAGCUGCAACAAAAGGAAGCAACCGGAAGUUUGAUCAUCUGAGGAGCCGGUGUUGUGAGCUUCUCCAAAAGCUUUGGUUGUCAGGCCCAUCUAGAAUUUUACGUAGCGGUGCCAUUGAAGUGGCCAUUACCUGGAGCACGAGAGAGAGAGAGAGAGAGAGAGAGAGAGAGAGAGAGAGAGCGAGCCGGUGUUGUGAGCUUCUCCAAAAGCUUUGGUUGUCAGGCCCAUCUACGUAGCGGUGCCAUUGAAGUGGCCAUUACCUGGAGCACGAGAGAGAGAGAGAGAGAGAGAGAGAGAGAGAGUUUCCACAAAGUUUUCCAACGAGCAGCCAGUCCAAGAGAGCGUUAGAUGGCAGCCAAGCUCACGUAAAAUCGAGAUCGCCAAGAGCGUAGAAAAUACGUUCAAGGAGGUCGCAAGUAGAGGCCAUCGCAUCUAAGAUCGAUUGAAGAAGAAAGGAUGAAAACCAGCGAUCGAAACGAGAAAAAAGGAGAACUUACAGUGCUUGACGAGCAAUGAUACGGCUUGAGCGGCGGAGUCGCCAAAUGUGUAGCACUGGACGAGAGCUCGGACGAUCGGCUUAGCGAGAGGGAUCGCGAGACCGGUCAUUAAAAGCAUGCAAAGCUUGAUGCCUCGAUCAUCUUGAGCAAAGAUCUGAUUGAUCCAAAAGAAAAACUUAAACGCGAGAAGUAUCGAAAGAGUUACUUCAACCUGCAAAAGCCAUUGAGCCAAAGCUCCCACUGUCGAGGCCAAAACGAGCAAAACACCUCCUGUCAAGCACCACUUUGUAUGAAUCGACUUUAAAGCUCAAGGCAAUGAGGAUUGCAAAGCUUGCAAUGAAUUGCAGCCUGCAUGGAUCCAAGAACACAGUCAAGAACACACGAAUCUUUUGUCUUGUAACCAAAACUUACAGCGAGAAUGAUCGAUAUGCUUGAUAGAGCAGGACUCAAGGAUGCAAUCCCGUAUCUUCCCGAGACACUGCACACGAAACCCAUUCCAAAGUUUGGCUACAAACUGGACGUGAAAGCUCGGUCAAAACUUCCACAGCCGAUUCCCAUCAAGCACGCCAGUGUUACACAAGGCGCCAUGAUUCUCAGCUGGAUCAAGAGGAUGGUUUUUGCAACUUGAGAGUUUUUCUUCUUCUGAAGCUACCUGAAGUAUAGCCAUGCUUCUCGUGAUCAAUCCACUGCUUGUUUUCAAUAACAAUCUGUUUGGAAAGCUUUUCAGAUUCUACGACAGAAGGAAUGCCGAAAACUUACCCUGUUGUGAUUGCAUCAAUAAGAAAAGCCGCUAAUGUGUACAUGAGAAUGCCAAGGCUCAAAGGUAUCUGAUAAAAAAGAGGAUGGUGUAAGCGUAGGGGAAAAAAACCGGUUUUCAUUUGAGAUCUUGCUAAAAGAGGAUGAAAAAAAUGACUUCAAGAAACUCGAAACAUACCUUAAGGCCGAUACCAUUGCUAUGUGGAUUGGUCCAUUGAUUCCUGUAAGAAUUAACGGUGAAUUUUGCUCGAUGCUUCAGCUAGAAACUGUAUACCUCCAAGGAUUAUCAGAAAAAAUCCUGGUACAAUGGACGCAUAUCUACAAACUUUCGAACUUAGCGAAGAGCACCAUGAACUCGAUGCAUACCCGAACGCAUCUACGACAGGACCAACACCAAAUACAGCAGCAAGAACAAGCUCACGAACUAAUCCCUGUGAAGGGGUGAAGAAAAAACUCAGAAAUCUUGCAAAGAAUGAAAAACAUUUUUAACACGAGAGGGAUACAACAAGACUUACCAAGACUUUGCUAAGAGCAGUAGCACUUCCAGUCACUCCCGCUAGCUUCAAAAACUUACCACCGCCUUCUGAGAAGAAAAUAAUGUUGAGAAGAAACGACAAAGAGAAAGAAGAAAAACCUUCGGAGUCAUUCUCGUUGAGCUCAAACAAAGACGUAUUGCGAGAGCAUACCUGAGCAAUUAGUUUGCCGGAAACUAGAAGCCCACUUGAGAGGGAGGCCCUCCUACCGAGAGACAAGGAGCCUGGAGGCGAAAAACAUGAAUCAUCACAGCUUCGUUUCUUCUUACCUGGGCACUGACGAACCGAUCCAUUCGAGAGAAAGACCCACAAGUCGCUCACACCUCAAGAUGACCUUUCUCUCUCUGUUUCUCUCUCAAGAGGGUUUUGGACAUCAAUGCGGCAAUAAGCUAUGUCGAUCAUUAAGAGAGUUUACUGAUUUCGAGAGUUCUCAUCCCAUUCUUACUCGUGACCUUUUUUCAUUUUCUUAUUUCAAUAAAGAUAUCGCAAGCUUGUUUGUAACACAUAUACGGCUGUGACGUAGACUUUUCCACCACCCCUGUUCUGGUUUAGGGCUCCGUCAUGAAGUGGUCCGACACGAAGAUUUCUGACAACGUACCGCACGUUUGUUUUAAAACACAUUAAACCGGUUCGCAGUCUUGUUUUCAAAGAAGUAAAUGGGUUGGUAUAAGUUUUGACACAACGUACCACACGUCUUUCUUAUGUUUGUAAACAAUGAAAAUGUGCUUUGUCGAUCAUUCAUUAAGAGAGUUUAUAAGAUGUAAAAGAUGGUGGCGCAGUUGGUCAACUCUUAGCUCCUGAGGUUUGAGGUCGAGAGUUCGAGCAUCUCUAAGAAAGAAUUUCGGGAUUAUUAUUAUUAUUAUUGCAUUUUUUCUUUUUUUUUUGGUUUGCUUAACCAAAGAGGAUGGUAAUGGAUAUUUAGAAUAUGCUUGGAUAUUCAAAGAUAUUCUACCAUCUAACAGUAGUUAUUUAUUCAGAUUAAUCUUGUAGUUAUAAAUUACAAACAUGUUUAUAAUUAUAAACUUUUAUUUGAUCAAUUAAAUCAAUAAGUAGAAAUAACACUACUAUGUGAGUGCUUGGAAUAUAGAAAGGGAAUACAGAAAUGUGCAUAUCAAUUAGCCUAAAAACCCUAGCUUAUAUACAGGAGCGAGUGGUCCGGAUUGAAACUAAUCCGACGCCUACCAAAAUCCCACUACACUAAUAUUAGUAUACGGCAUCGUAGCCGUACACUUGGCCCUCACAUCAUCCCCCCCUCUCAGGAUAAUGGAAAACCAUCAGGGUUCUCUUGUAGACGGGCCGGGAUCUAGAGGAACAUCAGGAGGCAUUGGCGGAUCUGUAAAUGGUAUUAACUGCUUCUGAUCCCUUUGUAUGAAGCGUUUUAACCGCUAGACAUGCACAAUCUCUGGAGGAUCGGCCUGCUAGACGUCAUGCCGAACCUAAUAAACUUGUGGUCCAACUUGCCACAACACCCGAUACGGUCCUUUCCACUGUGCAAGGAACCCUUUAAAUAAACCACGUACCGUAAGAUGGGGAAAACAAACUAACACCAAAUCAUCCACUUUGUACUCCGUAGGUGGACGAUGAUGGGAGUUGUACCACCGUUGUUGUCCCACUUGUACGUGGCCUAAGUAUUUGGUAGACUCUGCUCGGACAAGUGGAAAAAUGCUCGUCAAAUAUUGAUCCCAUGACCUAGCAUUUGUAGCUUGUGGCAAUCGCGAAGGUAAACCCAGCUCCGUUGGUAAUAUUGGAUCAUGACCAUAUAAGAGUUUAUAUGGUGAAGCACCAACAGAACUCUGCACCCCAAUGACAUAUGCAUACCGAAGAGACGGCAAAUAACCAUCCCAAUCCAAAUGCUGAAAGUUCACAUACUUCGCAAUCAUCCCCUUGAACGUCUGAACGAGCCAUUCCACCAGACCGUCUGAUUGUGGAUGAUAAGCACUCGUGAAAGUGUGGCGAAUCCCCAACCGAGAUGUCAAAACAUGAAACGCCUCAGCCAUAAAAGCGGGACCAUUAUCCGAAAGAAUCCGCUCUGGACAAGAAUGUUGGAACACCACUCGAUUGAGGAGGAAGUAUCCAACAGCAGUUGCAGAGGCACUAGCAAGAGCACCAACUUCCACCCAACGAGUCAAAUAGUCAGAAGCAAUAAUAACAUACUCAUUGCCAGCAAUUGACCGUGGAGAAGGUCCCAUAAGAUCAAACGCCACCAAUUCAAACGGACGAGAAACUGCAAUUGACUCCAACCGUCCUUCCGCAGUCCGAGGGGGAGUAUUACGAGCUUGGCACCAAACACAACUACGCACAUACCGGAUAAUAUCAUGUCGCAUCUCCGGCCAAUAGAAAGACCUACGUAGCUUCUCGAUUACACAACGAUGUCCCAUAUGCCCACCUAGAACAGGAGAAUCAUGGUAGGCAUGGAGAAACCGCGGAAUAAAGAUAGAAGGCACCACCAGCCGUAAAUGAUCAUCAGGAUUUGUCCCCAUAAAACAAAGAAGGCCACCUUCAAGACGAUAUUGAGAAUGUAAAUGCCGGAAAGGUAAGUCAUCAGUAAGUGAUGUAGGAUUCUCAAACCCAUCUCGAAGCCUUCGAAUUCAUGGCUCAAUCNNNNNNNNNNNNNNNNNNNNNNNNNNNNNNNNNNNNNNNNNNNNNNNNNNNNNNNNNNNNNNNNNNNNNNNNNNNNNNNNNNNNNNNNNNNNNNNNNNNNNNNNNNNNNNNNNNNNNNNNNNNNNNACAACAGGCUCGUCAAAAACAUGAGAAGAGAAUGAAGACUGGCGACUGCAUGGAUUUGGCGACUGCAUGGAGCCAAGAACACAGUCAAGAACACACGAAUCUUUUGUCUUGUAACCAAAACUUACAGCGAGAAUGAUCGAUAUGUUUGAUAGAGCAGGACUCAAGGAUGCAAUCCCGUAUCUUCCCGAGACACUGCACACGAAAACCCAUUCCAAGUUUGGCUACAAACUGGACGAGAAAACUUCGUCAAAACUUCCACAGCCGAUUCCCAUCAAGCACGCGAGUGUUACACAAGGCGCCAUGAUUCUUAGCUAGAGGUUUUCUUCUUCUGAAGCUACCUGAAGUAUAGCCUUCUCGUGAUCAAUCCACCGCUUGUUUUCAAUAACAAUCUGUUUGGAAAGCUUUUGAGAUUCUACGACAGAAGGAAUGCUCAAAACUUACCCUGGUGCGAUUGCAUCAAUAAGAAAAGCCGCUAAUGUGUACAUGAGAAUGCCAAGGCCCAAAGAUAUCUGAUAAAAAGAGGAUGGUGUAAAGGUAGGGGAAAAAAACUGGUUUUCAUUUACCACAAACAUAGCAUGCGAAGUUCUUCCAAUAAGUUCUCGUUUUCUGUCUUCUUCAGCGAUCUUGCUAAAAGAGGAUGAAAAAAAUGACUGAAAGAAACUCGAAACAUACCUUAGGGCCGAUACCAUUGCUAUGUGGAUUGGUCCAUUGAUUCCUGUAAGAAUUAACGAUGAGUUUUGCUCGACGCUUCAGCUAGAAACUGUAUACCUCCAAGGAUUAUCAGAAAAAAUCCUGGUACAAUGGACGCAUAUCUACAAACUUUCGAACUUAGCAAAGAGAACCAUGAACUCGAUGUAUACCUGAACGCAUCUACGACAGGACCAACACCAAAUACAGCAGCAAGAACAAGCUCACGAACUAAUCCCUGGAAGGGGUGAAGAAAAAACUCAAAAGUCUUGCAAAGAAUGAAAAACAUUUUUAACACGAGAGGGAUACAACAAGACUUACCAAUACUUUGCUAAGAGCAGUAGCACUUCCAAUCACUCCCGAGAAGAAAAUAAUGUUGAGAAGAAACGAACAAAGAGAAAAGAAGAAAAACCUUUGGAGUCAUUGUCGUUGAGCUCAAACAAAGACGUAGCCCGAAUCCUUGCGAGAGUCUUCGUUUCUAGCAUAACUGAGCACUUAGUUUGCCGGAAACUAGAAGCCCACUUGAGAGGGAGGCCCUCCUACCGAGAGACAAGGAGGCGAAAAACAUGAAUCAUCACAGCUUCGUUUCUUCUUACCUGGGCACAUUCGAGAGAAAGACCCACAACUCAUCUCAAGAUGACCUCUCUCUCUCUCUCUCUCAAGAGGGUUUUGGACAUCAAUGCGGCAAUAAGCUAUGUUGAUCAUUAAGAGAGUUUACUGAUUAGAAAAAUUGUAAGGGAUGGUCAGCGCGUAGAAAUUCUGAGGUCGAGAGUUCCAUUUUUACUCGAGACCUUUUUUCAUUUUUUUUAUUUCAAUAAAGAUACCGCAAGCUUGUUUGUUAUAUAAGUUUUUAACUAUAUAAGUACUUCAUAACUCAGACACUGUUCCACGGCUGUGACGUCAUGUUAGAACUUUUCCCUGUUCUGAUUUAGGACCAUUUCUCGAUUUGUGCGUGUCAUCCUUGGGCCAUGCUAAUCUUCUUUGCCUUGUUCUGGUCUGGUGGGGUUGGGACAUUGACAGCGUACCACACUUUUUUUUUAAAACACUAGAGACAACGUCGGGGUUAAUCACACACGUUUUACUUAUGUCUGUAAACAACAUACGGCAGCUUGAAAUCCUGGGUUGCUAUAAAACCCAGGGUAAAAUCUUCAAGCAGCACACAAGAAUGGCUUCUUCAGGAAUUUUCUUCUUUGUUCUUUUUGUUCUCUAUGUUUCUACAGGUAUCAUCUAUCGUCCUUUGAGUGCAUCUUUGAUGUCAUAUAAAUCUCUGUUUUGUGUGUGUAGUCGCUGCCCAAAACGUGCAUUUUGGUUAUGGAGUUUAUCUUCCCACCACGGAUCUGGGAUCUCCGUUGAGGACCCUGAGGCCCAUUUUCAACGAGAGAGCUAACGAAUUCCUGCUGACCGAGAACUAUACCUCUGUCAAAAACAACCAUGCCCACACUAGUAACAACGAAGAGCUCUACAAAUCAGUAAGCCAUGCAACAGUGGCAGUUCCUAAUCUGAUCGGUUGAUCACAGUUUGGAGUUACGUUUGGGAUGAACGUUCCUAUAAAAGUUCUGCAGCUUAACAUCGAGGCAUCGUUCAACAAGAUUGCGGGGAGCAAGACAAGCAUCAGGACCACCUCCGUGUUUGUGGAGUCAUACAACCAGAGGAUCUACCUCCGGGACCAUAGAAGGGCCAUCCAAACCCUCCCACUCAACUCUGAUUUCCUCAGUGACUUGCGCAACCUUCCCGAGCCACCCAGCUCCGACAGCGCUUGGGGGCCAUACCAAUCCUUCUUGAACAAGUGGGGAACGCACUACGUGGCCGAGAUGUUCCACGGCUCAUGGCUGCGCCAGUGGACCGUGGCCUCCUCCACGGCGACGUUCACCCAGCGCCAAAUGCAGGCCAAAGCCUGUGCCAAGCUCACCGGCCUCAAGGGAGUCCUCCCCAACAUGGAGGGCUGCGCGGGGAUCACUCUUGAGGAGAUGCGCGCCGCGGAGGGGAUCAACACGCAAGACACUCGAGAGGCCCGGGGUGGAUCGUCCGCCACCGUCUCGCAGCUGCUCUCGGGUGACAUAACCAACGAUCUCAUCCGGAAGUUCAUCGAGGAGGGAGCCACGAGCAAGGAAGCAGUACGCUACGGCUUCUUUCCAGUGUGGGUGCCCGUCUUGUCUCAGUACAUGUCGUCCGCGUCCAAGGAGUGGAGAGUGGCGACGGCGCUCCAGGCUUACUAUGAAGGCUUCCUCGCCUUCAAGUGUCCCCUGGACCAGCUCAACACACCCGCGACUGUCUUGCAGCAGUUUCGGAGGCUCAGCAAUGGCAAGUAUCAGUGCGUUCGCCAGUGCCAGGGCUGCAGGCUUGACAAGGAUUGCAACCUUAGUGGUGUAUCUGGAUGCUACUGCUACGGUAACUCGUGCAUCAACGCUCUGGGACCGGAUGGCCGAGCUCAGGUUCAGCGGCAGAAGGAUAACCUCGACCGUAAUGUGCUGCCUAACAGGUCGUGUGAGUACAAGUUUCCUCAGUGCCGCUGCAACACCAAAUCCAAAGAGGCGAACUGUGGUGCUGACAACAUGAUUCCGAUAUGGGACCAGGGUCAGAACAGCAUUGCGAUCGAUUCAGACAUCCUUCUUUAUGACGAAGAAUGAGCCAGACAUGAUUGUGUUUGUUGUUUGUGAUUUGCAUUGCAUUACGUCUCUACAAUAACAUGCAUCUCUAUGUAUAUUUUGCAUGGUUGUGUGUGGUUUGUAUUUAACAGUCCUGUGUUUUCAAAAAGAAUAAAUAAAAAGACGUUAAGUUAUACAAUAUCGGCAGCUGUGUACACUGUGUAGGUGAAGGAUGUCUUCCAUGUACUAUAUGAGCUCCCCAAGACAUGCACAUCUCAGCUGGAAGACCUUUCUGUCCUGGCAUGAGCGGGAUCAAGUAACUCUCCUGAGCAGGAUCCAGCAGUUGCAAAGAGUGGCCUAAACUGGAGCAGCUGCGAUCAAGACCUGGUGGCAAAUCGUGUAUAAUUUAAUUAUCACUAAACUGUUGAAAUUUUAUUUUAUUUUUAAACAAACUUGUAGGGAUAUAUAUAGAAUAUCCUUGGAUAUUCGAAGAUAUUCUACCAUCAAACAAAUUAAUUAUGUAUUUAUAAUUCAUAAACUUUCUUAAACAAUUUUUUAUUUGCUUAAGCAAACCGAGGUAGUAGUGAUACCUAAAAUAUGCUUGAAUAUUCUAGAAUAUUCUACCAUCUAACGGUUGUUAUUCAUUUAGAUUAAUUUAAGAACGUGUUUAUAAUUUAUAAACUUUCCUAAAGUAUAUUCUAAACUUCUAUUUUAUCAAUUAAAUUAAUAAAUAAAAUAAUAUUACUAUUAAGUAAAUCAAAUAUUGCUGCAAGCAACAUGCAGCAAAUUAGUAGCAUAUUCUAGUUUAUUUUACCACUUAAAUUAAUUUUGUAGCUAUAAAAUAUAAACAUGUUUUUAAUUAUAAACUUCCAUUUAGAUUAAUAAAUAGGAAUAACACUAUUAUUAAACAAACCAAAAGUUAGAGGGCUAUAAUGGUGGAUAAAACAUAGGGUUUAGUUUCAUUCCUCCAACAGCAAUGGCUGGGUCCAGCCAGGACGAGAGUGGCUAUUUUCCUUCUGACUGGUCGCAGCCAAGGCUUCGAUGCAAUGGUGCUGUAUUAUCACUUAGAAGUAAUAUAAACCUGUUAGUGUUUACUGUUUAUUAACAUUCACUAAGCAUUAGAUAAAAGAAAACCAAAACAGGAAGCUAGGAUUUAUAAUUUCACCAAUAGAUGAUUUUUAAGUUUGAAUUGAUCAGUCAUCUUUUGCUCAAAAUAUCUCAAUUAAUUUCUUAUUCAACCCACGGUCCAAAUUACCAAGUCACUUUUUGUAUGCCUACCAUGCAUAUAAAAAUACAUAUUUUCUCAAAAUCUAGAAUGUUCUAGUGCAUCGAAUCGCUUAUGUCCUCCUGCUUGCGCUCACUAGGGAACGCUCGUGGGCUUUAACAUACCAGUAGUACGUCAGAGCAGCCACUUUUGGCGAUUCAUGAGAGGUUGCAACUUUCUGACGAGAACCAGGAAUUCUUUGACGGGAAGGAGAUUCUUCUUCGAAUAUUGAUACGGAAGGCCGCUUUGCAAAAGACUUUUGAGCCGUGAUCUCCAGGCCGGUUGAAAUCCUCGGUCAAGAGAAAGUUCUGGUACAGAAGUCAGAAGAAGAGGGGGCGUUGGCUCGGCCGCCAAGAGCUUUGUACCAAAAAGCCNNNNNNNNNNNNNNNNNNNNNNNNNNNNNNNNNNNNNNNNNNNNNNNNNNNNNNNNNNNNNNNNNNNNNNNNNNNNNNNNNNNNNNNNNNNNNNNNNNNNUGCGAUAGAAAAGCCUCUAAAUCUCAGCUGCUAUCAGCUCACGAAACCCAUUCCAAAGUUUGGCUACAAACUGGACGUGAAAGCUCGGUCAAAACUUCCACAGCCGAUUCCCAUCAAGCACGCCAGUGUUACACAAGGCGCCAUGAUUCUCAGCUGGAUCAAGAGGAUGGUUUUUGCAACUUGAGAGUUUUUCUUCUUCUGAAGCUACCUGAAGUAUAGCCAUGCUUCUCGUGAUCAAUCCACUGCUUGUUUUCAAUAACAAUCUGUUUGGAAAGCUUUUCAGAUUCUACGACAGAAGGAAUGCCGAAAACUUACCCUGUUGUGAUUGCAUCAAUAAGAAAAGCCGCUAAUGUGUACAUGAGAAUGCCAAGGCUCAAAGGUAUCUGAUAAAAAAGAGGAUGGUGUAAGCGUAGGGGAAAAAAACCGGUUUUCAUUUGAGAUCUUGCUAAAAGAGGAUGAAAAAAAUGACUUCAAGAAACUCGAAACAUACCUUAAGGCCGAUACCAUUGCUAUGUGGAUUGGUCCAUUGAUUCCUGUAAGAAUUAACGGUGAAUUUUGCUCGAUGCUUCAGCUAGAAACUGUAUACCUCCAAGGAUUAUCAGAAAAAAUCCUGGUACAAUGGACGCAUAUCUACAAACUUUCGAACUUAGCGAAGAGCACCAUGAACUCGAUGCAUACCCGAACGCAUCUACGACAGGACCAACACCAAAUACAGCAGCAAGAACAAGCUCACGAACUAAUCCCUGUGAAGGGGUGAAGAAAAAACUCAGAAAUCUUGCAAAGAAUGAAAAACAUUUUUAACACGAGAGGGAUACAACAAGACUUACCAAGACUUUGCUAAGAGCAGUAGCACUUCCAGUCACUCCCGCUAGCUUCAAAAACUUACCACCGCCUUCUGAGAAGAAAAUAAUGUUGAGAAGAAACGACAAAGAGAAAGAAGAAAAACCUUCGGAGUCAUUCUCGUUGAGCUCAAACAAAGACGUAUUGCGAGAGCAUACCUGAGCAAUUAGUUUGCCGGAAACUAGAAGCCCACUUGAGAGGGAGGCCCUCCUACCGAGAGACAAGGAGCCUGGAGGCGAAAAACAUGAAUCAUCACAGCUUCGUUUCUUCUUACCUGGGCACUGACGAACCGAUCCAUUCGAGAGAAAGACCCACAAGUCGCUCACACCUCAAGAUGACCUUUCUCUCUCUGUUUCUCUCUCAAGAGGGUUUUGGACAUCAAUGCGGCAAUAAGCUAUGUCGAUCAUUAAGAGAGUUUACUGAUUUCGAGAGUUCUCAUCCCAUUCUUACUCGUGACCUUUUUUCAUUUUCUUAUUUCAAUAAAGAUAUCGCAAGCUUGUUUGUAACACAUAUACGGCUGUGACGUAGACUUUUCCACCACCCCUGUUCUGGUUUAGGGCUCCGUCAUGAAGUGGUCCGACACGAAGAUUUCUGACAACGUACCGCACGUUUGUUUUAAAACACAUUAAACCGGUUCGCAGUCUUGUUUUCAAAGAAGUAAAUGGGUUGGUAUAAGUUUUGACACAACGUACCACACGUCUUUCUUAUGUUUGUAAAACAAUGAAAUGUGCUUUGUCGAUCAUUCAUUAAGAGAGUUUAUAACAUGUACAAGAUGGUGGCGCAGUUGGUCAACUCUUAGCUCCUGAGGUUUGAGGUCGAGAGUUCGAGCAUCUCUAAGAAAGAAUUUCGGGAUUAUUAUUAUUAUUUUUGCAUUUUUUCUUUUUUUUUUGGUUUUCUUAACCAAAGAGGAUGGUAAUGGAUAUUUAGAAUAUGCUUGGAUAUUCAAAGAUAUUCUACCAUCUAACAGUCGUUAUUUAUUCAGAUUAAUCUUGUAUUUAUAAAUUACAAACAUGUUUAUAAUUAUAAACUUUUAUUUGAUCAAUUAAAUCAAUAAGUAGAAAUAACACUACUAUGUGAGUGCUUGGAAUAUAGAAAGGGAAUACAGAAAUGUGCAUAUCAAUUAGCCUAAAAACCCUAGCUUAUAUACAGGAGCGAGUGGUCCGGAUUGAAACUAAUCCGACGCCUACCAAAAUCCCACUACGCUAAUAUUAGUAUAUGGCAUCGUAGCCGUACACUUGGCCCUCACAUCAUCCCCCCCUCUCAGGAUAAUGGAAAACCAUCAGGGUUCUCUUGUAGACGGGCCGGGAUCUAGAGGAACAUCAGGAGGCAUCGGCAGAUCUGUAGAUGGUAUUAACUGCUUCUGAUCCCUUUGUAUGAAGCGUUUUAACCACUACACAUGCACAAUCUCUGGAGGAUCGGCCUGCUAGACGUCAUGCCGAACCUAAUAAACUUGUGGUCCAACUUGCCACAACACCCGAUACGGUCCUUUCCACUGUGCAAGGAACCCUUUAAAUAAACCACGUACCGUAAGAUGGGGAAAACAAACUAACACCAAAUCAUCCACUUUGUACUCCGUAGGUGGACGAUGAUGGGAGUUGUACCACCGUUGUUGUCCCACUUGUACGUGGCCUAAGUAUUUGGUAGACUCUGCUCGGACAAGUGGAAAAAUGCUCGUCAAAUAUUGAUCCCAUGACCUAGCAUUUGUAGCUUGUGGCAAUCGCGAAGGUAAACCCAGCUCCGUUGGUAAUAUUGGAUCAUGACCAUAUAAGAGUUUAUAUGGUGAAGCACCAACAGAACUCUGCACCCCAAUGACAUAUGCAUACCGAAGAGACGGCAAAUAACCAUCCCAAUCCAAAUGCUGAAAGUUCACAUACUUCGCAAUCAUCCCCUUGAACGUCUGAACGAGCCAUUCCACCAGACCGUCUGAUUGUGGAUGAUAAGCACUCGUGAAAGUGUGGCGAAUCCCCAACCGAGAUGUCAAAACAUGAAACGCCUCAGCCAUAAAAGCGGGACCAUUAUCCGAAAGAAUCCGCUCUGGACAAGAAUGUUGGAACACCACUCGAUUGAGGAGGAAGUAUCCAACAGCAGUUGCAGAGGCACUAGCAAGAGCACCAACUUCCACCCAACGAGUCAAAUAGUCAGAAGCAAUAAUAACAUACUCAUUGCCAGCAAUUGACCGUGGAGAAGGUCCCAUAAGAUCAAACGCCACCAAUUCAAACGGACGAGAAACUGCAAUUGACUCCAACCGUCCUUCCGCAGUCCGAGGGGGAGUAUUACGAGCUUGGCACCAAACACAACUACGCACAUACCGGAUAAUAUCAUGUCGCAUCUCCGGCCAAUAGAAAGACCUACGUAGCUUCUCGAUUACACAACGAUGUCCCAUAUGCCCACCUAGAACAGGAGAAUCAUGGUAGGCAUGGAGAAACCGCGGAAUAAAGAUAGAAGGCACCACCAGCCGUAAAUGAUCAUCAGGAUCUGUCCCCAUAAAACAAAGAAGGCCACCUUCAAGACGAUAUUGAGAAUGUAAAUGCCGGAAAGGUAAGUCAUCAGUAAGUGAUGUAGGAUUCUCAAACCCAUCUCGAAGCCUUCGAAUUCAUGGCUCAAUCUUUUGAGCCUCGCGAACCUCAUCAAGAGAAGGUAGAUCUUGCUCUGCAUCUUGUGGACACUGAACGUCAAGUAUAACAACCGCCGACGGCACAGAAUCCUCGUCUAGAAAAUCCACAGAUGCUGGAACAACAGGCUCGUCAAAAACAUGAGAAGAGAAUGAAGAAGGAAGAAGAGCUCGAGAAAGGGCAUCAGCAUCAGCCAUAGAACUCCCUGGGCGGUGAACAACAUCAAAAUUAUAUAUCUGAAGCUUCAAAGCCCACCGAGCAAUACGACCAACCAAGUUCUUUCGCUUUAAUAACGAAGUAACAGCAGCAUGGUCACCUUCAAGUAACAUCCGAGAACCAUGUAAAUAUGUGUAAGCAACCAAAGGGAACGACUCGAGAGACGAUCCAUGGGGUUCAAAUAUAGAGGGAAAGGGCCCAUGAACAAGAGUGCACCCCCUUUUCCAAUCGGUUAAGGGUCUUGGGAUAGUUGGAGUUAAGCGUCCUUGGGUUUGAAUAGUACUGGGCUGGGUGACCUCCCAGGAAGUCCAAACUCAGAAGCUUACAUUUGGUAUCAGAGGGGUCUCAGGUCCGACUCUGUUGGUUGGCUAGGGGCAUCACACCACAUGUUGAUUGACAUCUGGCUGGUCCAGUUUGUUCCCGCUGGGCUCGACCCGAGGGGUAGGGUGUCAAGAGAGCGGGGCUCUCGGGAGAGCUGCGGCUCUCAGCUUCCGUUCACGAGGGCGUGAACUUGCAGGGAAGCGUGGUGGAUUGUAAGCAACCAAAGGGAACGACUUGAGAGACGAUCCAUGGGGUUCAAAUAUAAAGGGAAAGGGCCCAUGAAUAAGAGUGCACCCCCUUUUCCAAUCGGUUAAGGGUCUUGGGAUAUUUUGGAGUUAAGCGUCCUUGGGUUUGAAUAGUACUGGGCUGGGUGACCUUCCAGGAAGUCCAAACUCAAGAGCUUACAUUUGGUAUCAGAGGGGUCUCGGGUCCGACUCUGUUGGUUGGCUAGGGGAAUCACACCAUAUGUUGAUUGACAUCUGGCUGGUCCAGUUUGUUCCCGCUGGGCUCGACCCGAGGGGUAGGGUGUCAAGAGAGCGGGGCUCUCGGGAGAGCUGCAGCUCUCAGCUUCCGUUCACAAGGGCGUGAACUUGCAGGGAAGCGUGGUGGAUUGUAAGCAACCAAAGGGAACGACUCGAGAGACGAUCCAUGGGGUUCAAAUAUAGAGGGAAAGGGCCCAUGAACAAGAGUGCACCCCCUUUUCCAAUCGGUUAAGGGUCUUGGGAUAUUUGGGGUUAAGCGUCCUUGGGUUUGAAUAGUACUGGGCUGGGUGACCUCCCGGGAAGUCCAAACUUAGGAGUUUACAAUAUGCAUGAAGUUUCUCGAAACCCCAAACUGCUGCUAAACACUCCUUCUCUGUCGUGGAGUAAUUCAUCUCCACUGGUUGUAAUGUACGGCUUAUAUAUAUGCAAUGAGAUGGUGCUAACCAGGCACACUCGAGCUCUCUUGCAUUAACACACCUCCAAGACCAAUGUCAGAAGCAUCCACGCGCAAAAUAAAAGGUCGAGUGUAGUCAGGAUAUGCCAAAACCGGAGGAGUUGUCAAUAACAUUUUGAGAUCCCCAAAUGCCCGCUCACAAUCAGGAGACCAGAUGAAAGAUGAUGUUGAUGACUUCAGCAACGCUUGCAAUGGUGCAGUGCGAUUAGAAAGAUGAUCCACAAAACGCCCGAGAUACUGCACCUUGCCCAAGAAACACUGCACAUCAUUCACACACUUCGGAGUAGGGAACUUUAGAACAGCCACAAGUUUGUCAGGAUCAACUUGCAAACCCUCACGAGAAAUACGGUACCCAAGAUAAGUUGUGUCCUUGGAUCCAAACACACACUUCGACCGCUUCAGCUUUAAACCAACGUCGCGUAGCCGAUCCAACACUUUACAAACAUCACGAACGUGCUCCUCCCACGUCCCUUCUGAGUGGAUCAAGACAUCAUCAAUGAAGUCAGCAGUCACCUCCGGCAUAUCGCAAAGACCCUCGUCCAUCAUCCGUUGAAAAGUUGCUGGAGCAUUGUUCAAACCAAAUGGCAUCACUAAGAACUCAUACAAACCAAAUGGUGUACGAAAAGCAGUCUUAGGAAUAUCUUCUUCGGCCAUCAGUACUUGCCAGUACCCAGAAGCAAGAUCUAGCUUGGUGAACCAACGACUUCGCCCCAGACGAUCCAAGAGAUCAGUAGUGUGAGGAAGAGGGUACACAUUCAGGAUCGUUACGUCGUUUAACAAACAAUAGUCAAUGCAGAAACGAAUACUCCCAUCAGGCUUCAUCACAAGAUGAGGUUCACAUGCCCAAGGACUUCGCGACUUCCGAAUAACACCCUUCUCCAACAUCUCCUGGACAUUUGCAUGUAAAAUCUUGAUCUCCUUUGGUGACCGACGACGAACAGGAACCUUGAUUGGAUGAGCAUCCCCAGUUGGAAUCGGAUGAUAUGUAGCAAUCUUGGCUCCAAACGAUAGGUCAAAGUCAAAGAGAUCAGAAUACUCCUUCAUGAGCCGGUCAAUUGCUGCAACACAAAGAUCGUCGGAGAAAUCGGAAAAGGGAAGAGCAGAACAAGAUGGAAACAUAGGAGGAAAUAGUGGGGGAACAAAAGUAAUGGAAGCAGAGGUAGAAGUAGAGGGACGAAGAGGUACGGAUGUGAGAGGAAUGGAGGAAACAUAAGGAAGUAUGAGACAAGGGGGAGAAGCCUCAAAGUCACACUUGGCAUGAUUGCACUGCAACCAAUCCAUACCAAGAAUAAGGUCAAAAGCUUGACUCGGCACCACCCGCAACGACUGCAACUCAAGCUCGAGAUCGCCCACACGCACAACCAGGUCUACCUCAUCCCAUGCACAUGCAUGUGUACGGCCGUUGCCAUAAAGAAUGAAAACUAGUUUUGCUGCACGACACAAGUGUAGACGACAACGUGUGGCAAUAGGUCGAGCAAUAGAAGAUAAACUCGAACUUGUAUCAACCAACACGGAGAGAAUAAUAGGAGACCUCUUGUUUUAAAGAUGAGCUUGGAAAGUAAACACUGGAUGAACUGGUGCCAAGUGAACCCCUUGAUGAUAUUCCCGAAAGAAAGAUGGAGGGGUCACUGACUUAUUCGCGCAAGGUCCCUCCAUUACUCGCGUGACUCCUCGUUUCUUGGAUUCAUCUUGGUGUCCAAACCUUCCAGCACCAACGGGACGUUGUUGACGCCAAGGUCUCCACCCAGGAAAUGGAGGUCGCCAAUCCGGAAAGUGCCGACAAUGCCGAUAAGUAUGACCAACUUCAUCACACGCCCAACAACGACAUCACGGCCACGACCACGUCCUUGUCCNNNNNNNNNNNNNNNNNNNNNNNNNNNNNNNNNNNNNNNNNNNNNNNNNNNNNNNNNNNNNNNNNNNNNNNNNNNNNNNNNNNNNNNNNNNNNNNNNNNNGAACCAUCACUCAUAGAAAGUGGAGUGGAAGGACGUGCAACGAGAAGUGGAAGAGGCGACAUCUCAUGACAUUGUGCCAAGCGAAAAGCAUCGUCAAGGGUGGCAGAAGCAAGUGCAUGCACAAGGCCGACAAGAUUUUGACGAAGUGCUGGCCACAACAUUCCUAGCUUGAUCCGCUCCGACAUAUUGGGCUCCGCACGAAGCAAAAGACUUCAGAAACGAACGCCAAAUUGCAUCACCGACUCAGAUGGCCCUUGGCGAAGACGAUGCAAUUGUUGGAAGGCAUCGUCACAAUCGUCGGCAUGUUCAAAGGCGCAUUUGAAGACGUCCGGAACAACACUCCAAUCCUCACGAGUGGCCGCACUCAAUCCAUUGUACCACUGCAACGCCGUCCCUUGGAGACAUGUGGGAAACUCACGUAAACGUCGAGCAUCAUCCCAAGAAUGAUAUGUGGCAAUCACCGUGAAGUGAUCAAACCAAUGGUACACAUCAUCCCCGGGAUUCCCACGAAAGAACUCCGGCUGAAUGCGAGGAUUGGCACCAAGAGCAGGAGGAGUUGGACCACGUGCCGUGAAUGCCGCCAUCAAUUGAGUUUGGUUGUUCAAUUGCAAGUGCAUAGCAUCAAGCAAUUGGACCAACUGCUACUCGAGAGUCAAAAGAGGAGAUUGCUAAUCUGCCAUGGAGACGAAUGAAAAAAAAAAAGAGCAAAAGAAGAUAAAUGACAAAAAGCUAGAAGGAAAUGGUAGAUCUAGACAAUGUUAAAAGCUAAAUCUAAACCAAAAUCCUGAAAGGAAAGAAUAAAAAGAAGGAAAUGGAAAAAGCUAGAUCUAGACAAUGCAAAAGCUAGAUCUAAACCAAAAUCUCAAAUCCAAGCACUCCUCAGGGACAAUCAAAGGUGCCCCUCACCUUCACCAAUGUGAAUGUUUGGAAUAUGGAAAAGGAAUAAAAGAAAUGUGCAUAUCAAUUAGCCUAAAAACCCUAACUUAUAUACAAGAGCGAGAGAUCCGGAUUGAAACUAAUCCAACGGCUACCAAAAUCCCACUACAUUAAUAUUAAUAUACGGCAUCGUAGCCAUACACUUGGCCCUCACAACUACUAUUAAACAAACUAAACAUUACUACAUGCACUGCAUAACAAAUUAUUUUCAAUAAAGGUCUGUAUUGUUGCAAGAAGCUUGUUUGUAACACUUUAUAACUCAAACACUGUUCCACAGACUAGAUGGCUUUUUAGCACCCUUGUCUGAAAGCUUCAUAACCAACAAAUCAAACUAUUCAACAACAACUCUUUUGCACUUGACAGAUUGGCACGGCAUCCUUAUCUUGAGAUGAGUAUAUGUUAUGAAACUGAGCACUGACCCAUAUGGUAUCACAUCGUACCACACGUUUUUCUUAUGUCUGUAAACAAAAUAUGACAACUUGAAAUCGUGGGCUGCUAUAAAACCCAGGGUAAAAUCUUCAAGCAGCACACAAGAAUGGCUUCUUCAGGAAUUUUCUUCUUUGUUCUUUUUGUUCUCUAUGCUUCAACAGGUAUCAUCCAUCGUCCUUCCUUUGAGUGCAUUUUUGAUGUCAUAUAAAUCUCUGUUUUGUGUGUGUAGUCGCUGCCCAAAACGUGCAUUUUGGUUAUGGAGUUUAUCUUCCCACCACGGAUCUGGGAUCUCCGUUGAGGACCCUGAGGCCCAUUUUCAACGAGAGAGCUAACGACUUCUUGCUGUCCGAGAAAUAUACCUCUGUCACAAACAACCAUGCCCACACUAGUAACAACGAAGAGCUCUACAGAUCAGUAAGCUAUGCAACACUACCAGUUCCUAAUCUGAUCGGUGGUUUGUAUUGUGAUCACAGUUUGGAGUUACGUUUGGGAUGAACGUUCCUAUAAAAGUUCUGCAGCUUAACAUCGAGGCAUCGUUCAACAAGAUUGCGGGGAGCAAGACAAGCAUCAGGACCACCUCCGUGUUUGUGGAGUCAUACAACCAGAGGAUCUACCUCCGGAACCAUGCAAGGGCCAUCCAAACCCUCCCACUCAACUCUGAUUUCCUCAGUGACUUGCGCAACCUUCCCGAGCCACCCAGCUCCGACAGCGCUUGGGGGCCAUACCGAUCCUUCUUGAACAAGUGGGGAACACACUACGUGUCCGAGACGUUCCACGGCUCAUGGCUGCGCCAGUGGACCGUGGCCU
rnacentral:lncRNA from 1 species